GGAAUCUUCCACAAUGGGCGCAAGCCCUGAUGGAGCAACACCGCGUGAGUGAAGAAGGGUUUCGGCUCGUAAAGCUCUGUUGUUAAAGAAGAACACGUAUGAGAGUAACUGUUCAUACGUUGACGGUAUUUAACCAGAAAGUCACGGCUAACUACGUGCCAG
rnacentral:rRNA from 1 species